rnacentral:lncRNA from 1 species
GAGCAGGGAGGAGCCCGUGCUGCGUGUGCAGGAAGUGGCCCACUCUGCUCCCUGCUAGGGACCUUAAAGGAGCCUGGGGAAGGGAAGCCUGCCAGCCCUUGUACAAAAUGACGUGGUAGUUGGUACAAGCUUGGGAGAGCUGGAAUUCUUACAACCCUGCAAAGUGAUGUUGGUGCCUUUUAACUGUUGGCUUGAUGCGCUCACCUUCCCAGGGUGCACCUGUCUCAUCCGGGGACCAAGGCGCCUGCUCAGAUCCCACCCCAUUUGUGAAAGAAGCUGGGGACGGGCGGAGGUUUCUCGUUUUGCCAUGGAUCACUCUUAAAGGAGCCCCUGGAAUCCCUAUCAUCUACCCUCUCUCAAGAGGUACCCCUUGGUACUCUCAAGGACCACCUUGGCUGCUUCAUGGUGAAAGGGAACAUCAUUGAGGUAUGGUAAUAAGGGACUUCCCCCAGAGCCCUAUCCAGGGAUCCACAGUAAAAAGAGGUUUCCAAGCUGGGUUCCAUCUGUGUGACCAUCUGAAGCUUGAUUGUAAAUGAGAGGAAAUGAUUCAGGUUAAAAGAUUCAAUAGGUGGCCGGUGCCACGGCUCAAUAGGCUAAUCCUCCGCCUGCGGCACCAGCACACCGGGUUCUAGUCCCGGUUGGGGCACCAAAUUCUGUCCCAGUUGCUCCUCUUCCAGGCCAGCUCUCUGCUGUGGCCCGGGCGCAGCGGAGGAUGGCCCAAGUGCUUGGGCCCCUGCACCCGCAUGGGAGACCAGGAGAAGCACCUGGUUCCUGGCUUCAGAUCAGCGCGGUGCGCCAGCCGCAGCAGCCCUUGGGGGGUGAUCCAACAGAAAAGGAAGGCCCUUCUCUGUCUCUCUCUCUCUCUCACUGUCCACUCUGCCUGUCAAAAAAACAAAAAACAAAACAAAACAAAACAAAAUGAUUCAAUAUGUAAGGACCAAGACUCAGGGCUACCAUGAGCAACAGGGUCCACUAAGGGCCACAACCAACUGAAUGGCCUUUUAUUAAGUACCAGCAUUCAUGGAGGUCGCUUACCUGGGUGAAGAUGUCUUCAGUCCUAUCCAGGCACAUGAUCACCUGCCCUAUGUUAGAGGUGGCACCACAGGGUUCAGUCAGGGAAACAGGAGAGUAAGAGGGCCAGGCAAAUAGCAAGGCAGAAUAUAAAGCUGUGCCGACAGCAUGCCCUGUGAUUGUAUGUUGGGCCCAGAGGCAGACUGUGCAGAACCCUGCUUGUGUGAUACUAGCGAUGAGAAGUUUUGCCUCUGGUGGAUGGCUUUUAUUGCUGUGUCUUUUUUGGUCCCCUGUAUGUGCUGUUGUCUGUCCCCUGGAGCCUGCUACCAUUGCAGAGUGAUGUGCUGAUGCUACGGGGAAAACACGAAGCAGCUGUGUGACUUAGUGUCCUUUCCUCCGCCACUCAUUUAGGGA